GGGUUACAAUUUUUGUUAGAAUUACGAAUGGGGAUCAGGAUUGAUUUUUGGAAGGUGGAUUUGUAAGUAAUUAUUUUAUAUAAUUAAUAAAUGAAGGGUGGAAUAACAUGUGUACAUAUUGCCCGUCGCUCUCGCUAUUUUGAGAUAAGUCGUAACAUAGUUGAUGAACUGGAAAGUGUAUCUUUUUGA
rnacentral:rRNA from 1 species